CUACGUGCCAGCAGCCGCGGUAAUACGGAGGGUGCGAGCGUUAAUCGGAAUAACUGGGCGUAAAGGGCACGCAGGCGGUGACUUAAGUGAGRUGUGAAAGCCCCGGGCUUAACCUGGGAAUUGCAUUUCAUACUGGGUCGCUAGAGUACUUUAGGGAGGGGUAGAAUUCCACGUGUAGCGGUGAAAUGCGUAGAGAUGUGGAGGAAUACCGAAGGCGAAGGCAGCCCCUUGGGAAUGUACUGACGCUCAUGUGCGAAAGCGUGGGGAGCAAACAGGAUUAGAUACCCUGGUAGUCCACGCUGUAAACGAUGUCGAUUUGGGGGUUGAACUUUAGGUUUGGCGCCCGUAGCUAACGUGAUAAAUCGACCGCCUGGGGAGUACGGCCGCAAGGUUAAAACUCAAAUGAAUUGACGGGGGCCCGCACAAGCGGUGGAGCAUGUGGUUUAAUUCGAUGCAACGCGAAGAACCUUACCUACUCUUGACAUCCAGA
rnacentral:rRNA from 1 species